GCCGGGAUGGUGGAAUUGGCAGACACGUACGUUUGAGGGGCGUAUGCUUUCCAGCGUGGGGGUUCAAAUCCCCCUCCCGGCAC
rnacentral:tRNA from 1 species